GAUGAACGCUGGCGGAGUGCCUAAUACAUGCAAGUCGAGCGAAUGGAUUAAGAGCUUGCUCUUAUGAAGUUAGCGGCGGACGGGUGAGUAACACGUGGGUAACCUGCCCAUAAGACUGGGAUAACUCCGGGAAACCGGGGCUAAUACCGGAUAACAUUUUGAACCGCAUGGUUCGAAAUUGAAAGGCGGCUUCGGCUGUCACUUAUGGAUGGACCCGCGUCGCAUUAGCUAGUUGGUGAGGUAACGGCUCACCAAGGCAACAAUGCGUAGCCGACCUGAGAGGGUGAUCGGCCACACUGGGACUGAGACACGGCCCAGACUCCUACGGGAGGCAGCAGUAGGGAAUCUUCCGCAAUGGACGAAAGUCUGACGGAGUAACGCCGCGUGAGUGAUGAAGGCUUUCGGGUCGUAAAACUCUGUUGUUAGGGAAGAACAAGUGCUAGUUGAAUAAGCUGGCACCUUGACGGUACCUAACCAGAAAGCCACGGCUAACUAUGUGCCAGCAGCCGCCGUAA
rnacentral:rRNA from 1 species